CCCCUAGAUGUGCUGGGCCGCACGCGCGCUACACUGAACAGUUCAACAAGUCUUAACCUUGGCCGAUAGGUCUGGGUAAUCUUUGAACGCUGUUCGUGAUUGGGAUAGACCUUUGCAAUUAUGGGUCUUCAACGAGGAAUUCCUAGUAAACGCAAGUCAUCAGCUUGCAUUGAUUACGUCCCUGCCCUUUGUACACACCGCCCGUCGCACCUACCGAUUGAAUGGUCCGGUGAAAUCUCGGGACGGCGGCUUGGUCGCUUGCGUCCGACUGCUGAAACUUGAUUAAACCAUAUCAUUUAGAGGAAGGUGAAGUCGUAACA
rnacentral:rRNA from 1 species